UCAAAGUUUGUGCUUUUUGUUGCAUGCCCGGAAGGCUGCCGUGACCGAAAGUUACAGUAGCAGAAGAAGAAGUAGCUCCUGAAACCGGAGCGUCCACUGAGCGGCGCCGCAGCCCGCAACUUCCACACACAGCCAGACGGCGUUUCCUCCCUGCAACACGCUGCAGGCCAAUCCGCUCACUCACUCCGUGUUGGGUUACAAUGACAAGGGCCCUGUCUGAACCACGACUUUUAGAAAGAUAAUAUUACAGGCCCACCGCUGAUCCAUCUCCCAGUACACAAUUGAGACUGAGGAGGUUAAAGCACUCUGAACGCAUGGGACCAUAUUGCAGGUGUUUGUGCCUGUGGCAAGGUCUUGGUCUUUUGUUCCCUCCUGCUCCCUCCUCUCCAGCACAAGACGACCGGCAUGCACACAAGACAAGACCUCGGACAGCGCCUCCCACCACUCCUCCAUGUUCUCCUCCAUCUGCCUCCUGUCCAUUGAUCAGCCUUCCAGGGCAUCAGUCUGUUUAA
rnacentral:lncRNA from 1 species